UGGCUCAGGAUGAACGCUGGCGGCGUGCUUAACACAUGCAAGUCGAACGAUGAAGCCCAGCUUGCUGGGUGGAUUAGUGGCGAACGGGUGAGUAACACGUGAGUAACCUGCCCUUAACUCUGGGAUAAGCCUGGGAAACUGGGUCUAAUACCGGAUAGGAGCGUCCACCGCAUGGUGGGUGUUGGAAAGAUUUAUCGGUUUUGGAUGGACUCGCGGCCUAUCAGCUUGUUGGUGAGGUAAUGGCUCACCAAGGCGACGACGGGUAGCCGGCCUGAGAGGGUGACCGGCCACACUGGGACUGAGACACGGCCCAGACUCCUACGGGAGGCAGCAGUGGGGAAUAUUGCACAAUGGGCGAAAGCCUGAUGCAGCGACGCCGCGUGAGGGAUGACGGCCUUCGGGUUGUAAACCUCUUUCAGUAGGGAAGAAGCGAAAGUGACGGUACCUGCAGAAGAAGCACCGGCUAACUACGUGCCA
rnacentral:rRNA from 1 species